GCACAGUGGCUUAGUGUUUAUCACAUUCUAGGCCUCACACCUACAGGGUCGGGGGUUCGAUUCCCCCUGUGUGUG